rnacentral:rRNA from 1 species
UACGUAGGGUCCGAGCGUUGUCCGGAAUUACUGGGCGUAAAGAGCUCGUAGGUGGUUUGUCGCGUUGUUCGUGAAAACUCACAGCUUAACUGUGGGCGUGCGGGCGAUACGGGCAGACUGGAGUACUGCAGGGGAGACUGGAAUUCCUGGUGUCGCGGAGGAAUGCGCAGAUAUCAGGAGGAACACCGGUGGCGAAGGCGGGUCUCUGGGCAGUAACUGACGCUGAGGAGCGAAAGCGUGGGGAGCGAACAGG